rnacentral:telomerase_RNA from 2 species
UGUCAUUCCGGAGAGGGGCGUUUUCUUCUUUCUCUAACCCUAAUGUAUUGCUUGGGCAGCAGCUCUCUCGGUAUGCUCGCUGUUUUGCUGGCUAACUUUCAGCGAGCAGAGGGCGAAGUCGAAUUUCGGACAAGGGAGAAAAAAUGUUAGCCGGGGAACGCCCCUUUCCCGAAUGCCCGUGCCGUCCUUCCUCUCCUCUGGGCCCGUUGGCGAUAGCCCCCGGCCUCCCUCGCUCCUUAGGCCGCGGUCAGUCCGGGCCCUUGCUCUGGCAUGAGGUCCAUUGCUGCCGCGAAGAGUUCGUCUCUGUCAGCCUUGAGGUGGCCAGCAUGGAAUUGGCGGGCUUGUGGCGGCGCGCGGGAAAAAGCAAAUGGUGAACUAGGUGCGUGUUGUGGUCGUGUUCCUGAAGCGUGGAAUGUGCGAUCUGUGCGCUAGUUCAUACACAC